rnacentral:rRNA from 1 species
GUGGAUUAGAUACCCGGGUAGUCCACGCCGUAAACGUUGGGCGCUAGGUGUGGGGUCCUUCCACGGAUUCCGUGCCGCAGCUAACGCAUUAAGCGCCCCGCCUGGGGAGUACGGCCGCAAGGCUAAAACUCAAAGGAAUUGACGGGGGCCCGCACAAGCGGCGGAGCAUGUUGCUUAAUUCGAAGCAACGCGAAGAACCUUACCAAGGUUUGACAUGCAGGGAAAAGCCGUAGAGAUACGGUGUCCGCAAGGGCCCUGCACAGGUGGUGCACGGUUGUCGACAGCU